UUGAUAGUGUAAUAUAGUAGUCAUGGUUAAGGCUGUUGCAACUACAAAUCUUCUUCUUUUGAAGACCAUCUUUUUGGUGUGCUUCAUUAUAAUACUGACACAAGCAGGAGGAAUUGAAAGAAGAGAAAUCGAAUCAAUACAAGCUUAUGCAAGCACUCCAGCUAAGGUUAAUGAAAUGGAGAAAUACACAAUCAAUGAUCAAGAUGAUUCAAUAGUGAUUAUUGACUAUACACCAAGUCAUGGAUCCCCAGACAUCCACCAUCAUUUACCGCCACCAAAAAACCGUUAUUUUAUAUAAUUUAUGAAUUGUUUAUCUGUUUUCUUAGGGUCUUUGUUAUUUCAUAAGAUCUGCAAUUUGCUGGUGCAUAAUUGUACUUGCUGCUUCACUAAGGUAUAUUGUUGUCUUCCGUGAUG